ACUCCUACGGGAGGCAGCAGUCGAGAAUAAUUCACAAUGGGGGAAACCCUGAUGGUGCAACGCCGCGUGGAGGAUGAAGGCCCUAGGGUCGUAAACUCCUGUCAUUCGAGAGCAAGACCUGGGUGUUAACAGCACACAGGGUUGAUAGUAUCGAAAGAGGAAGGGACGGCUAACUUCGUGCCAGCAGCCGCGGUAAUACGAAAGGUCCCGAGCGUUGUUCGGAAUCACUGGGCGUAAAGGGAGCGUAGGCGGUUCGGUAAGUCAGGUGUGAAAUCCCGGGGCUCAACCCCGGAACUGCACCCGAUACUGCCGGACUUGAGUGAUGGAGGGGUAACUGGAAUUCUCGGUGUAGCAGUGAAAUGCGUGGAUAUCGAGAGGAACACUCGUGGCGAAGGCGAGUUACUGGACAUCUACUGACGCUGAGGCUCGAAAGGCCAGGGGAGCGAAAGGGAUUAGAUACCCUGGUAGACAUCA
rnacentral:rRNA from 1 species